GAAACGACUGCUAAGACUGGAUAGGAGACAAGAAGACAUCUUCUUGUUUUUAAAAGACCUAGCAAUAGGUAUGCUUAGGAAGGAGCUUGCGUCACAUUAGUUAGUUGGUGGGGUAAAGGCCUACCAAGACUAUGAUGUGUAGCCGGGCUGAGAGGUUGAACGGCCACAUUGGGACUGAGACACGGCCCAAACUCCUACGGGAGGCAGCAGUAGGGAAUUUUCGGCAAUGGAGGAAACUCUGACCGAGCAACGCCGCGUGAGCGAUGAAGUAUUUCGGUACGUAAAGUUCUUUUAUUAGGGAAGAAUAAAUGAUGGAAAAAUCAUUCUGACGGUACCUAAUGAAUAAGCCCCGGCUAACUAUGUGCCAGCAGCCGCGGUAAUACAUAGGGGGCAAGCGUUAUCCGGAAUUAUUGGGCGUAAAGGGUGCGUAGGCGGUUAAAUAAGUUUAUGGUCUAAGUGCAAUGCUCAACAUUGUGAUGCUAUAAAAACUGUUUAGCUAGAGUAAGAUAGAGGCAAGUGGAAUUCCAUGUGUAGUGGUAAAAUGCGUAAAUAUAUGGAGGACACCAGUAGCGAAGGCGGCUUGCUGGUCUUUACUGACGCUGAGGCACGAAAGCGUGGGGAGCAAACAGGAUUAGAUACCCUGGUAGUCCACGCCGUAAACGAUGAGUACUAAACGUUGGGUAAAACCAGUGUUGAAGUUAACACAUUAAGUACUCCGCCUGAGUAGUACGUACGCAAGUAUGAAACUUAAAGGAAUUGACGGGACUCCGCACAAGCGGUGGAUCGUGUUGUUUAAUUCGAAGGUACCCGAAAAACCUCACCAGGUCUUGACAUGCUUCUGCAAAGCUGUAGAAACACAGUGGAGGUUAUCAGUUGCACAGGUGGUGCAUGGUUGUCGUCAGCUCGUGUCGUGAGAUGUUGGGUUAAGUCCCGCAACGAGCGCAACCCUUAUUGUUAGUUACCAGCACGUAAUGGUGGGGACUUUAGCAAGACUGCCAGUGAUAAAUUGGAGGAAGGUGGGGACGACGUCAAAUCAUCAUGCCCCUUAUGACCUGGGCUACAAACGUGAUACAAUGGCUGUUACAAAGGGUAGCUGAAGCGCAAGUUUUUGGCGAAUCUCAAAAAAACAGUCUCAGUUCGGAUUGAAGUCUGCAACUCGACUUCAUGAAGUUGGAAUCGCUAGUAAUCGCGAAUCAGCAUGUCGCGGUGAAUACGUUCUCGGGGUUUGUACACACCGCCCGUCA
rnacentral:rRNA from 1 species